UACGUAGGGUGCAAGCGUUAUCCGGAAUUAUUGGGCGUAAAGAGCUCGUAGGCGGUUUGUUGCGUCGGCUGUGAAAUCCCGAGGCUCAACCUCGGGUCUGCAGUCGAUACGAGCAAACUAGAGUGUUGCAGGGGAGACUGGAAUUCCUGGUGUAGCGGUGAAAUGCGCAGAUAUCAGGAGGAACACCGGUGGCGAAGGCGGGUCUCUGGGCCGAUACUGACGCUGGAGGAGCGAAAGCGUGGGGAGCGAACAGG
rnacentral:rRNA from 1 species